AGCGAACGCUGGCGGCAGGCUUAACACAUGCCAGUCGAGCGCCCCGCAAGGGGAGCGGCAGACGGGAGAGUAACACGUGGGAACAUACCUUUUGGUUCGGAACAACUGAGGGAAACUUCAGCUAAUACCGGAUAAGCCCUUACGGGGAAAGAUUUAUCGCCGAAAGAUUGGCCCGCGUCUGAUUAGCUAGUUGGUGAGGUAACGGCUCACCAAGGCGCCGAUCAGUAGCUGGUCUGAGAGGAUGAUCAGCCUCACUGGGACUGAGACACGGCCCAGACUCCUACGGGAGGCAGCAGUGGGGAAUAUUGGACAAUGGGGGCAACCCUGAUCCAGCCAUGCCGCGUGAGUGAUGAAGGCCUUAGGGUUGUAAAGCUCUUUUGCCCGGGAAGAUAAUGACGGUACCGGGAGAAUAAGCCCCGGCUAACUUCGUG
rnacentral:rRNA from 1 species